CCUACGGGCGGCAGCAGUGAGGAAUAUUGGUCAAUGGCCGAGAGGCUGAACCAGCCAAGUCGCGUGAGGGAAGACGGCCCUACGGGUUGUAAACUUCUUUUGUGCGGGGAUAAAGUGCGUCACGUGUGGUUUUUUGUAGGUACCGCAAGAAUAAGGACCGGCUAAUUCCGUGCCAGCAGCCGCGGUAAUACGGAGGAUGCGAGCGUUAUCCGGAUUUAUUGGGUUUAAAGGGAGCGUAGGCGGCGGUGUAAGCCUGCGGUAAAAUUCCGGGGCUCAACCACGCACUGCGGGGGGAACUGGCUCGCUUGAGUGCGCGGAACGUAUGCGGAAUGCGUGGUGUAGCGGUGAAAUGCAUAGAUAUCACGAAGAACUCCGAUUGCGAAGGCAGCAUACGGCAGCGCUACUGACGCUGAUGCUCGAAGGCGCGGGUAUCGAACAGGAUUAGAUACCCGUGUAGUC
rnacentral:rRNA from 1 species